rnacentral:rRNA from 1 species
AUUGAACGCUGGCGGCAGGCUUAACACAUGCAAGUCGAGCGGAGAUGAGGUGCUUGCACCUUAUCUUAGCGGCGGACGGGUGAGUAAUGCUUAGGAAUCUGCCUAUUAGUGGGGGACAACAUUCCGAAAGGAAUGCUAAUACCGCAUACGCCCUACGGGGGAAAGCAGGGGAUCUUCGGACCUUGCGCUAAUAGAUGAGCCUAAGUCGGAUUAGCUAGUUGGUGGGGUAAAGGCCUACCAAGGCGACGAUCUGUAGCGGGUCUGAGAGGAUGAUCCGCCACACUGGGACUGGGACACGGCCCAGACUCCUACGGGAGGCAGCAGUGGGGAAUAUUGGGCAAUGGGCGGAAGCCUGAUCCAGCCAUGCCGGGUGUGGGAAGAAGGCCUUUUGGUUGUAAAGCACUUUAAGCGAGGAGGAGGCUACCUGGAUUAAUACUCUAGGAUAGUGGACGUUACUCGCAGAAUAAGCACCGGCUAACUCUGUGCCAGCCGCCGCCGUAACAC